rnacentral:lncRNA from 1 species
GUGGGGGAAAGCUAAAUCCACCUCCAGCACCCCCUGCGAGAUCACCUACCACAGAGCUUUCAAGCAAGAGCCAGCAGGCCACAGCCUGGACCCCGACGCAGCAGCCUGGAGGUCAACUGCGAAAUGGAAGCCUGCACAUCAUUGAUGACUUCGAGUCUAAAUUCACGUUCCAUUCUGUGGAAGACUUUCCCCCUCCGGAUGAAUAUAAACCAUGCCAGAAGAUUUACCCCAGCAAGAUCCCCAGAAGCCGUACACCUGGUCCCUGGCUCCAAGCGGAAGCAGUCGGGCAGAGCUCUGAUGACAUCAAAGGCAGAAAUUCUCAGUUAUCUCUAAAGACUCUUCGGUGAGAAGACAGAUGAAGCGAAGGUCCUGGGGUUCCAGGUUGCAGAACAACAUGUCAGACCCCACC